UCCUUAAAAAUAAAAAUAUUACUUUAGGUUACCAACCGGUGCCCUGUUAACAGUACCUAGUUUCACUAAUCUCUGCUCUGCAAUUUGCCAGCGGGUACCAGAAAAUGCAAUGCAAAAGUGUCCACACAGGGGUCGAAUGAUUCAAGAAACUGGAGAUCUAAAUUUAUUGAGGAAAAC